CGGGCGGGCGGCAGGCGCGUCAUUGUGGUGCGGAGCGGGCCGCGGGCGGUGCAGCGUGCGGGGCUGAGCGCCGCGCCCCUCUCGCCGCCUCUCUCUUAUCUCUUUCCCUCCCUUUCUCCUUCUUCUCCCUUUCCUUCCCCUUUCCCCCUCCGCCGCGGACAUGCCGCGCGUCUACAUCGGCCGCCUGAGCUACCACGUCCGGGAGAAGGACAUCCAGCGCUUUUUCAGCGGCUAUGGCCGCCUGCUCGAGGUCGACCUCAAAAACGGUUACGGCUUCGUGGAGUUCGAGGACUCCCGAGACGCCGAUGAUGCCGUUUAUGAGCUGAACGGCAAGGAUCUGUGUGGGGAGCGCGUGAUCGUGGAGCACGCCCGCGGCCCCCGCCGCGACAGGGACGGGUACAGCUACAGUAGUCGCAUGACCAGUGGGGCUGAGGCUGUGUCCACUGAGGCUAAGAUGACUGCCUUUCCUGAUUGGCCAUGGCUUUUCCAUACAUUGUGUGACCCUUGCCCUAUGACCCUUUGGCUGACCUUACCGGAAGCCAUGACGACAGCAGCCUUUUGCCAUUAGACGCAGGGUGAUGGUGAGGAUUCCAAGGGUUAGACAAAACUGGUUAAACUGAACUAGGUGACUGUUACCUUGCGUGUUUUGUGGCCAAACCACCACCAAAAACCUCAUGCUGUGAUGUGGGGGUGGUGGCGGAUAUAGCAGUCGGAGACAAUCUGGAAGAGAUAAAUACGGACCGCCUGUUCGUACAGAGUACAGACUGAUUGUUGAAAACCUUUCCAGUCGCUGUAGUUGGCAGGAUUUGAAAGAUUUCAUGAGGCAAGCUGGUGAGGUAACCUAUGCAGAUGCUCACAAAGAGCGUACAAAUGAAGGAGUGAUUGAGUUCCGAUCCUACUCGGACAUGAAGCGUGCCCUGGACAAACUGGAUGGCACAGAGAUAAACGGAAGGAAGAUCAGGCUGGUUGAAGACAAGCCACGGUCAAGCCAUAGGCGGUCAUACUCUGGCAGCAGGUCAAGGUCACGAUCUAGGCGACGGUCUAGAAGCAGAAGUCGUAGAAGUAGGAGCAGCCGCAGCAGGUCCCGUAGUGUCUCCAAAAGCCGUUCGCGCUCUAAAUCCAGGUCACGAAGCAAAGACCGCUCACGUUCCAGAUCUAAAAGCAGGAAGUCUAGAUCAAAGAGCAAAUCAAAACCCAAGUCUGACAGGGGCUCACGCUCUCACAGCAGAUCCAAGGAGAAGUCUGAGAAGUCUCGAUCCAGAUCCAGGUCCAGGUCUCGAUCUCCCAAAGAAAAUGGUAAAGGAGAUGCUAAGUCUAAGUCCAGGUCAAGGAGUAGGUCUCGUUCCAAUUCUCCGCAGCAGCAGCCAUCAGCCAAGGCUCGUUCAGAGUCACCACCCAAAAGAGCUGCAUCGAGGUCCCGCUCCAGAUCUCGUUCAAAAUCUCGCUCACGAUCAAGAUCUAGUUCAAGAGAUUAAGACUAGAACUCUCCUCUUACAUUGCACACUAUUACGGAACAUUUUCCUACUUGUCAGGCCAUUAGUGUUACGUUAGUACUUCAGAAGUUGGGGGUUUUUUUUUUGUUCUCUUGCAGGAGCAAAUGGCCUAAGAACUAAGUUGAGGCAUAAAGGUUUAAUUCGUAUCCCAAAUUGGAAAAUAAAGAGCUCGGAUGGUGGUAUAAAGCACUAAACCUCCCCCUUUUGUAGGAAUUCAGCUAAAACUUUGAUUUUAUAGCAUUUCCACAGGAGUAACUUAACUACUCUUAAAUACAAAGUGGUUUUUUAUAAAAAAAAAAAAAAAUAAACUGAAUAUAAACAGGCUUAAAUCUGGGCUUUUUUUGAAAGUAUCUUUAUUUUUUCCUAUUUUUUUUUUUUGCUUCAUGGUCUUAGAACUAUGGGUAUCAUUAGCUUAGAGGUUCCAGCUUGCUGCCAAGGGCAGGAUUGCCUUGCUGGCCAGCUCAGAGGAUUGUGUUUCAGCUUAAGUUGUGGAAGCAGGCUGCAAACUACAUAAACCGGUAACAAAACUGGGAAGAGUUUUAGAUGAGCAAUAAACCCAAGUUGGAGCGUGUUUGUUGUAUCUUAACUUGCCAAAAGAACAUUCCCCCUUCCCCCGCUGCCCCCCCAAUACUGUGACUGUAUUAAAGGUAAUAAAGGUACUCUGGAACCUGUAUCAUACAGUAUUGCUGAACCCCCCUGUGUUUCUAACUUGAAAGAAGGAAAGCUUUCUGACAUGUUUUUGCUUGAGUGUCAGUGUCACUCCGCUGUCAGACACUCGUGUCCCUUGGAUGUGGUCCAAGUCACUAGUAUGUUGUAUGGUUUGUCAGCCUCUAAAUACCUAUUGGAUAUGAAAACUAGGUAAAAUAACACUGUCUUCCCUCCUUUUUGACUCAUUUAUGUUAACGUUUUUGCUUCAGACUAGGAGAACUAUAAUCCUAUUGUGUGUAAGUCUGAACUUUUAUGGGAAAUGUAAUCUUUGAGCUAGAGUUCUAGUCUUAACAAAGGCUUUGCUAAACCACAGUUGCCAACUCACUUAAAUUGUGGAAUAGGACUCGUCCAAAAAAUUCCCCUUUCUAGCUAAAUUGAUUUUUGUAACAUGCAAUAGUAAACAUUAGAACUGCCUUGUACUCUUUAUACAACGUGUAGUUUGACUUGUAUAAAAUUAAAUUGGUGACUC